rnacentral:rRNA from 1 species
UACGUAGGUGGCAAGCGUUGUCCGGAAUUAUUGGGCGUAAAGCGCGCGCAGGCGGCUAUCCAAGUCAGUGGUGAAAGCCCGGAGCUCAACUCCGGAACUGCCAUUGAAACUGUUUAGCUUGAGGACGAGAGAGGUGAGUGGAAUUCCGAGUGUAGAGGUGAAAUUCGUAGAUAUUCGGAAGAACACCAGUGGCGAAGGCGACACCCUGGACUCAUACUGACACUGAGGUGCGAAAGCGUGGGGAGCAAACAGG